GAUUAGUUGCUCUUUUAGUAUUUGUCAAGUAGGCGUCUUCAAUCGAAGAAGCCCCG
ensembl:snRNA U7 U7 small nuclear RNA